rnacentral:rRNA from 1 species
UUCCCUUAGUAGCGGCGAGCGAAACGGGAAGAGCCCAGCGCUGAAUCCUGCGUGAGCAACCCUCGCGUUGGGAAAUGUAGCGUUAAGGAGUGUCCGUUAACACGGCGUCUGACACUGGAUAAGUCCAACUGGAAAGGGGCCACAAAGAGGGUGACAUGCCCGUUCUCCUUGCCACGUCGGAUGUCGUGUGGGCAUCUCCUCAGAGUCGGUCUGCUUGAAAGUGCAGACUUAAGUGGGUGGUAGAUUCCAUCUAAGGCUAAAUACAACCACAUGACCGAUAGCGCACAAGUACCAUGAGGGAAAGGUGAAAAGAACUUUGAAAAGAGAGUUCAAGAGUACGUGAAACUGAGCUGAUCUAAACGGACAGAAUCGAAAAGUGCGAACUGCCCUGGUACAGGCGAUCCUGAAGUCGAGGCCGAAAAUAGCUUGGGAAGACAAAGUCAUGGAAACGGAUGGCUAGUAGGCUGAGACGACGGGAGAAGCUGCAAUCCAGACUUAGUAGCAUGUCGCGGCUCGUUGGGAGGCCGGUCUUAAGGCCCGCGGUGGAGACUUCACUUAUUCUUCGGGAUGGUGUUGAUCCGCGGUGUCCCGGCCGGCGCCCGACGGUGUUGUACGGACGGAGCCCCAUUCCGCGUCUUCGCGGCAAGGUUCCGUCGGUCCGCGGCACUUCUGCUUUCGAUCCCUAUCCGUCCCGUCUUGAAACACGGACCAAGGAGUCUAGCAUGUGCGCGAGUCAUUGGGUCUACGAAACCUAAAGGCGAAAUGAAAGUGAAGGAACGCUUAAGUGUUCUUAGGGGUGAUGGUCGCGCUUUCAUGCCGACCCGCAACCCCGGGGCGUCGAUUCCUCUUGAGGAGCGACGCACCUAGAGCGUACAUGUUGGUACCCGAAAGAUGGUGACCUAUGCCUGGCCAGGGUGAAGCCAGGGGAAACCCUGGUGGAGGCCCGAAGCAAUUCUGACGUGCAAAUCGAUUGUCAGAGCUGGGUAUAGGGGCGAAAGACUAAUCGAACCAUCUAGUAGCUGGUUCCACCUGAAGUGUCCCUCAGGACAGCUGGCCUUCAACAAGUCUUAUCUGGUAAAGCGAAUGAUUAGAGGCCUUGGGGUCGAAACGAUCUCAACCUAUUCUCAAACUUUAAAUGGGUAAGAGCAAUGGCUUGCUUCGUUGAAGCGAUUGAAGCCUGGAUUGGAUGGCUCAGUGGGCCAAUUUUGGUAAGCAGAACUGGCGCUGUGGGAUGAACCAAAUGCGGAGUUAAAGCGCCUAAGUCGUAGCUGUGAUACCAUGAAAGGCGUUGCUUGCUCGAGACAGCAGGACGGUGGCCAUGGAAGUCGGAAUCCGCUAAGGAGUGUGUAACAACUCACCUGCCGAAGCAACUAACCCUUAAAAUGGAUGGCGCUGAAGCUACGCGCUUACACUCCGCCGUCAGUGCAAAUGGCCUUCGGGUUCUUGACGCAUUGAUGAGUAAGGUGGUCGUAUGGGUGUGCGUAGAAGGGUCAUGGCGUGAGCCUGCCUGGAGCCGCCCAUAGUGCAGAUCUUGGUGGUAGUAGCAAAUACUCUGGAGAGUCCUUGGAGGGCUGAUGUGGAGAAGGGUUCCGCGACAACAGUGCUUGCUCGCGAGUUAGCCGGUCCUAAGCCAACAGAGAAAUCUCGACCAACGCAGGGCCUUUGGGUCCCGUUGAUGGCGAAAGGGCAGCCUGUAAAUAUUCAGGAGCCCCGGUCGGAACCGUAUCUCAGGUCCCAUUACCUGUCACGGUGACGUGAAUUGCCCCAAAGACGCCCUCGGGCGCCACCAGGAGAGUUUUCUUUUCUCUUGAAGCUCGCGUACUCCAUGGAAUUCCUUAACGGAGAGAUAUGGAGCGGCUAUGCGAAGAGCGCCGCACUUGCUGCGGUGUUGGUGGUGGCUCCUGGGACCUUGAAAAUUUGGGUGAGGGCCACGAGUGCCUC